UCACUUUGUGUGGGUAUGUCUUGCCUGAAAAGUGCCUGUGUCUCAUCCCUGAUUUCCAUGAUCCAGCUAAGGACAACUUCAGAGGAUCUCUGAAAGCUGGAAAUUGUGUGGAACCUCCUCUUGUGAAAGACCACGUAGUUUUCUCAUUGGGUGACACUUCAGUAUUUCAGGUCUACAGAAGUCUAGAAACCACAGUUUUGAGAGAGGCAAUUAACUCCUUAACCUAAAGAUGUGCAUUGACACGCAGCGUUGUUAACGGUUCCCUUGCUAAUCACUUCUGUGGUCUUAAUCAGCUGACACACACAUUCCUCUGCUCCAGACAGCUUCUCAGACAGCCAGAAAAAAAUGAUCUUCCUCUAACUCAACCUCUACAACACUUCCUUAAUACUUUCCAUGUUGCACGUUUUCUUAAUAUAAAAAGCUGUGGUAUAUUGAACUCGUGGGGCAGCAUAAGAUUAAUAUGAAAACAAAUAACACUGAAUCUACCAUGCUUAUUUUAUUACUCUGGUUUGUAUUUUAUUUAUUAAAAUGCUCUUCUUUUUUU